rnacentral:rRNA from 1 species
ACACCUACGGGUGGCUGCAGUCGAGGAUCUUCGGCAAUGGGCGCAAGCCUGACCGAGCGACGCCGCGUGUGCGAUGAAGGCCUUCGGGUUGUAAAGCACAGUCGAGGGGGAUAAAGCCCGCAAGGGUUGAUUGAUCCCUGGAGGAAGCACGGGCUAAGUUCGUGCCAGCAGCCGCGGUAAGACGAACCGUGCGAACGUUGUUCGGAAUCACUGGGCUUAAAGGGCGCGUAGGCGGCAUGCCAAGUCCGGGGUGAAAGCCCCCGGCUCAACCGGGGAAGUGCCUUGGAUACUGGUGUGCUGGAGGGAGGUAGGGGUCGAGGGAACUUCUGGUGGAGCGGUGAAAUGCGUUGAUAUCAGAAGGAACGCCGGUGGCGAAAGCGCUCGACUGGACCUUUUCUGACGCUGAGGCGCGAAAGCUAGGGGAGCAAACGGGAUUAGAUACCCCGGUAGUCCUAGCCCUAAACGAUGGGUACUAGUUUGUGGACUAGUCAUGGGUUCACAGACGAAGCAAAAGUGUUAAGUACCCCGCUUGGGGAGUAUGGUCGCAAGGC